GUUGGACUCAAUGAUCUCUAGAGGUCCCUUCCAACCCCUACAAUUUUCUGUGGUUGUGUGAUUCUGUGAAUUCUGUUAGCAGAUUGAGAUUUUUAAGUGCACACUGGAAAUUCAACAGCAGGAUACAGAACUCCUGUUCUUUUUGCAUAACUGGAAACAAAUCCAUUGUGUUGUUAAGAUGUAGUCAAGUCCUCGGCCACUUUAGUUCACAUGUUUUGAUGUUCAUUGCUGCCCACUGCCUUAUGAAGUCAUACUUCACGUUCACAAAGGCCAUUCUGUGCAUCUGGGCCAGGCUUUGAGCUCGUCUCUAGUGGCACUACUUCCAAGCUGUGCUCCUGCAAUUCAAGAUCUGGCUUCUGCAGACUGCAGUCAGGGUUGGCCUCAUUCUGAAAAGUACUUAAACCUUUGCUAUUGCUCCUUGUGGAAGAGCUGCGCUUGGAGGAAAUGAAGAGCAGCGGGCGUAGAGACCGGCUGCUCCUUGCUCUAGAGCUCAGGUUGGCUCUGAGAAACUUCUCUUUGUUGGCAUGCUCUAUCGUCAGGUGGCAGCGGAGGACCUGCAGAAACACACUGCGGAACUGCUGAGAAGAGAUAGUGUACAGCAGGGGGUUCACCACAGAACUGAGGUAGAAGAAAAUAUCAGCAAUGGGAAGAAGAAUGAUGAAACGUGCCUUAUCUGAGUGCUUAAGAAGGAGUGGAAACUGCAGGUUGGCUUCCCUGCUGCAGGGGCACAAAGUAGUAGAGAAUAUCUCAGUGGUGAAUGGUUUACACUUUCCACAGACACUUGUUAUGCUGUUUAUCUCCUCCAGCGUCUUGCCUCCUUUCCCAACAGAAGCACAGAAACAUUUUAAUUCUUACCUGUCCAGAAUGUCAUUAAAAAGAUCACUAGGAAGGCAAUUCUGAAAUAGUAUAUUAUGCACUUGUCUUACGAGUGAGAAGUCAUGAAUAUAAGGGGAAGGGAGGACAGAAAAGAGAAGCAAUUUUUUUUGUAACUCUGAAACUGCCAGUACUUAGGAGGCUGUGUCCUGGUUCUCUCCACCACCACCAUUUUGAUUGGGGGUAAAAAAAAAAAAAAAUUCUUAAUGAAAGCCAUAGUUACUUUAAAAAAACAACAACAUAUGAUCUCAUUGUAUGACAGUUCCCAAAUAAAGGUCAUCUUUUUGAUCAUUUGCUUCCAUAAUCACUUGAUGUCACAGUGGUUUUGAUGGAGAAGUACCUGAAAAACACAGCCAUGGAGUAAUGGAUGGGCAGGGAGGAGGCCAGGCAACUUGUUUUCAGUAGGUGUGUGACAAUGCCCUUUGCUAUUUCUGCUAACUCCUCUUACAGCCACGGUCAUGGGUCUGUGUUCUCAUCCCUGUUCUUAGCGAUGCUGUGCCUCUCUGCUUGGCUGACUCUUCUCUGACUUCUGGAGCAUCUCUGCCAUCAGUUAAUCUGAACUGUUUAUUACUCCUGCAAAUCUUUUCUGUGCUUUUUUCUCUGCUGUCAGCAGAACAAAUACACAGACAGCAGUCCUGGCAUGGGCCAGCAGAGAACAAGAAGCCCUGAGCAGUGACUGCACUGAGUGUUUUCUCCUGUGCAGCUUAAAAUUGGGCAAGAAUUUUACAGACCUUGAUUUGUUGUCUUUGUGCUUACCGGAUGGUAUCCUUCAAGGGAAAAGAAAAUCAGUUCUAUUGUGUAAAUUUUUUUGUUGGAAAAAGUAUAUUUCAUCAUGCUGAUUAAUAGUUCCCUAAAUUGUGACUGAUGCUGUGAAAAGCUGUCAGCAAACAGUGCAUGCAAACUCAAAUGCAGUGCACUAGGAAGUCUCAUUUUUCACUUGUAUCUGAAUUCUUUGUCAUUGACUUUUCUUUUUAGUCCAAACUGCCAAAUGUCUGAGCUUCCCCCUUAUAUCCUUCAGACGCUUUUGUUCUGCGAUCGAAUGUUUUGCUGUGUGUACAGCAAGUGAAAAAUGAGCUGCUGGUGCCCUUGCACGGUGUGGAGAAGCUCCAGCUUUGGGAAGCAGAAGUCUGUAGAACCUCAUCUCUUGCCAGGAAUAAUAACUGUUCAUACUUCCAAGUAUGAAGAAGUAAGCCCAAGUGCAGCGAAAGAAAAGCUUUACAUUCAGACCUUAGCACAGUAAAUAUUUUGACUGAAUUAUUGCUGCAAUCAAGUUGAACUCGUACACAGGCUAUAUAGAUUUUAGUCUUGCAAUGUAAUGAGCAGAAGGUGCUUAAACCACUUCGUCUCAACUUGAAUGUAAAUCAGAGUGCAUCUUGUAUCGGUACAUGUGCAUUAUCCCCCAGAAGUUGCUGUGCAUUAGGAAUUAAACUCUUUUCAUCUCAUCUUCAACUUUCCCUUCCGCUCCUUCUUAUUAAAGUGAAAACAACUCCUACAUCCAUACUCUUUUCCACUUUCCUGACUUUGUGUUAAAGUGACAGCCUAGGUGACAGCAGAAAUUGUCCCCUGGAGUAAUGUUUAUAUACAAAGUAAUGUUUUGUUCAAACGACCUCCACCCCUUGUGCCUGAAAUUUCCAGCACACAUUUGAAUCACUCAAUUUAAUCUUCAGAAAGGCACCAGACCGUGCCUACAGAGCCCAGGAGCCCCGGUGUUAUCUGGUGACUGCGUAAGUGACAGCAUCUCCACCUGUAAGUAAGUGUUUGAGCUUAUAAUUCAUGUAACUGUGAUGCUGAUGUUCCAGUGUAACAACAACUACCAUAAGUAGACAUGGCUUGGCUAAACCCACUUACAUAGCUAAGCCAAAGACAGAAAAUGCCACAUUCAAUUAAUAGUUUAGUCUAAAAAGAAAAAUAAGACAAAGUCUUUUAAAGUGUACAAAUACAACAAUUUAAGUUUGGGAAUUGUUAUUGUAACUUCCCAAAAGUGCAUCUUAUAGUAUUAAUUCUUAAUAUGUGACAAAGGACCAUUUAAGUAGUAAAAUAAACGUAGCGCUAAGUGCCAAUAAUAAAUAAGCAUCGCUGGCACAGCACAGGAGCUUGGCAGCCAUCUCUCCCUUAGCAAUACUUUUUAUUGCUCUGAACAUUCCUCUGGGCCGUAGGGGACUGAAUUAAAUUCAUUAUGAACUUCACUGGGAAGGAUUUUAAAUGCAUGCAGACGUCUGGUAGGGUAGAGAGGGCUUCCUUCCACACCCUCCCACAUUUCACUUGUCCUUCUAUUGAACUGAUAUAUUUUUCUGUCUUUUCUGUACCUGAGUGCUUAAAUCUGUGUAACAGAGGCUUAUAGUCCUACAUUUUCUCUCACCUCAGCCACUGCCAGCCAGCCCACAGACGUCGGAGUUGUCUAAAGAUACUGUCAGGAAACGCCAGCUGCAUCCUUCAGCUGACUGCCAUGGGCCAUUACCCGAGGCUGACGGGGUCACCCCUGCUUGCUCCCAUCCGCCUAUGAGGCCCAGCACUGCCCGCCCACUACUGCUCCACACACACUGCUUGGGUUCAAGCAGAGUUAAGCCUCAAACUUUGCUUUUCUGUAAUUUAAUCAAUAGCACAAAGGAGGGUUUUCAACAUCUGCUUGUAAACUGACAUUUAAAUGGCAAUUGCCAGUGGAAUAUAGGCAUAUGGUUACUGAGUUAUGACUCAAGUGCAGGCAGCCAGGCACUUGGUUCACAGGGAGUUGUUUCAGCACUUGUGUCACGCUCACGCACUUGACCCCUUUAUACUCAAAGGCACAGCAGAGCAUGAACACCCCACACCUUUGUCACAGCAUCUUCCCACCACAGGUAACAGCUUCCAAGAGAUGAGAAUACGAGCCCAUCCCUCACUAGUAAGUUCACCAUUGCCAUGCAAUGCUAAGCACGAAGAAAGCUCUUGUUCCCUAUGGGAUUCUGCUAACUGCAGCUCUGAAAACCCAACUACCCACCUCUGUGCUCAGGGUGGUUGGCAGCUCAGUCACCACCAAAUUCCAGACAAGAAAAAGCAGAGACUCAAUUGCUAAUUGAGAAUGUUAUUUUCAGGAGGUGGGUUUGAGGCAUGUAUUUAUGUACCUUCAUUAUUUUAACCAGGACUUGGGAAUCUUACUUUUCACUGUAAGCAUGGACAAAAGCCAUUCCUCUGCUGUGGCUCCAGCCUGCUGUAAGAAAGCGCCUAGCGCCGUACUGCACCACACAGCAGUCACUGAGGUGCACCCCAACGCAGCUCCAUGCAGCACUGCCUCCCAGCUGCCUGCAGUUGGCUGCAUGUGACAUGCCAGCCGCCAUAUGCUGCGUGUCUACUGACGAUUGCCACUUAAAUGUCAGCAUUCAAACAGCUGUUACUGAAGUUGCCACAGCUCUGCCUCAUCCCCGAGCAAGGAAAGCAAGGAAGCUGCCUGCAUGGCAGCAGGGGCUGCCCCAUCCAGGUGCUGCCCAAACAUAGCACUGUUUUGGCCACGGUAUUAAUGAAAACGCCCAAAUACCAUUUCAGCCACACUCAGACACAGUGCCCCACGUACAGGCAGGAGACAAGUUCAACCUGAGGGCCUGGCCUACUCACCGGUGCCCCCCAUCAGACUCUAAGAGCAACCUUCUGUAGGCAGCGAUUCCCCGCAGUUCUCAAGCUGUCAGCCUGUGCCCCACACUCCCUCUCAGGAUCCGUGAGCGGAUCUGGCUCAAUUGCAGUGGCACCGAGCAGGCAGGCUAUAAAACAAAGGUGGCUCUGCUGCCCUUUCUGUCAGUGACAGGUCACAUCAUCCAGAAAUCAAUUGCUCAGCCCUGCGCCCAGUGCCACAACCAUCAAUAAGGGAUUUGCUUGAGUGGGGCCUGUGCUGCAUUCCAUGUGCAGGAUAAAGCAUCUGAUGAAGAUUAAAAGAGGAAAAGAACAUUAAUAUAAACCUCCCUUGCUCAUGCACAUGCAAGUUUCCUUGCUGAAGGACAAACAUCACAGUAAAAGUAAGCACAUAUUGAUGGAUGUUGAGGUGAAUAUAAAAAUGUAUUAACCUGAGAGAUAAAUAUUGACACUGCUUUGUCUGUGUCAAUAUUUAGUUCAAGGGACAAUAAAUUUUGAUAUUCACCGAAAUGAGUCGAUACGUGCAUUGCUACAUACAUUUUGUAUGAGCUCAAGUUAUUCACCAACUCUGCUCCUUCCAUCCUCAACUUGCAGAUUGGAGAUUUGCGCUUCUCUGCCAGGGAGGGUGGUAAUAAACCAAGUAUCCCCUUCCAGCAGUGACUACAAGGUGUGCUUUGAGAAGGUACAGCCAGCAUCAAGUUCCCAGUGAUAAGGCCCAGCUUCUACUCCCAGCUAUGCUGGGAAUUCAGGGAGCACAGCAAAGGACACAGACAAACCUCCACAAAGCUCUGGCAAACAGUGCUCUGCCCUUCUUGGAAUGAGUUGGCACUGACCAGCAACCAGCUGGCUUCGUAAAUGCAGCCUGAGAGAGUUAACCAGUGGUCUGGGUCACACAGCUGGAAACCACAUCUGGCAGCAGGGAUUCCUGCAGCCUGCAGAGAGACCUGGGGCCAUCUGGUGCUCACAGGUGACUCACUGGUAUCAGGACAUCAGGACAGUACUGUCUCACAAAAAGAUGCAGGAAAUGAAGGGCACAGACAAACCAGCAAGCUGCCUCGGUGCAAUAGAUGAUAUAAAACUGCAAAGUUACAAUAAAUAUGUCACUGUUGAGGACAGAGUUGUCUUUCUCCCAGCUGAAGACACCAUAAAUGGUCUCUCCGGAUCACAUAUGCCAAGGCAAUGCAUGCAUUCUUCCUGUAAAUGACAUUUUCUUCCUUAAAACAGUACCAUAUCCAUGUGAGUGGUGACAAUGCAGGGAAUUUAUUUUUAUCCCUGAAAAGCUUCUGCUGAGAGCAGGAGCCGUCAGGUGCACCGAGAAGAACAUCACACAACUGUGAACCUCCUGCAGCUGCUUUUGAUACCUGAUCUCACAGGUGACUGUGUGCUGGUGUAAAUCCUCCAGACUCCCCCAGACAUCUACAUGGGCUACGAGCAUCUCAAGUCGUCAGGGGAACAUAGAUAGAAUUAGCCAAUACACAAGCGAUAACAGUUCUACUUCUUGGCAACUUAAAAUAUCUCACAAUUACCUUCAGUUCUUAGCAAGGUCAAGUUGUGAUUCUCAAGUAUUGUUUAAUACUAUCACAUACAGCACAAACAGCAGCAAACAGCUACAAACACUGCAGGAAGGCUCAUUACAGAGGUGCUGCCUCUGCUUGAAUGCAAGCAGUGCCUGAAGUCAGGGUGCGUGCUCAGAAGACACGUGCUCACUGCUCACACAUCACUGGUGGAAAUCAUGUUCAUGUUAAUAUUUACAGAUCAUGAUGAAGACAGUACCAUAGCAUUCCACAGCAACAGCAGCACCUCGUCACGCAGCUCCUGCCUUGAAAGGGCAGUUAUUUCUUCUGUUCUUCAUGCAAAGAUUUGUAUUUCAAAUACGAGUUUAUCUUGCUCCUUGGCUUCAAUAUUCCGACUGCAAGGGCACUGGUGAUGGGAGAACUGUGGGAGCACUGUGCCCACAUUGGCACAACUGAUGGUAAAUACCAGUGUGGCAUUUGCAGCAGUGAUCAACAUGGGGUGCUCUCCUUUCCUUGGGGUGCCCACCUCAUGUGGUGUAUCACUAACAGCUCCAAUAUCCUGUGCCAGCUUUAAAGGCCUUUGUUUCCAUUUGGUCUAAUGCUUCCCCCGUAGAAAUACAACAUUUAAAUCAGGGCUACUUUAGGGGAAAGAUGAUCAAGAAUACUGUGGAAAUAGACACAAAAUCACCACCUAAAGACAUACUGUGGUACAAUAAAUAUACUUUAAAUUGCUCAUCUUUCAGAAUGUUAACAUUCCAGCUGUCAGAAAAAACAUGCUUGUUGGAAGCUGUUAUUUCUGUACUGAGAAAAUAUUUUUAAAAAAUGCUAAUAUGGACACAAAUGUAGAAGGCAAUGGGCUUAGUUUUUAUUGAUGUUUCUUCCUUGCAAAACAAAUUUUUGCCAUGGUUGCUUUGAUUUCCUUUUAGAAAGACUGAAGUCUUGUUUUCCUUCUACAGUGGCAAAACAAUGGAAAAAUACAUUUUCCAUAUAAAUCUCAUUUAAAUUCAGCGUUCUAACUAGCAAACACAAUUUGGAAUUGAGAGCUUUUUUGUUUUUACAUUACAAACCCAACCAUCGCAACGUUAAACAGCUCAUCUACUGCAGUUCAGCAGGAGGAAUCAUUGAACAAUCCGCUGCAGAAUACAAAUACAGAAACAAAGCAGCAGCUCAGCAGAUCCACGCGGUACUGCGAGCUCCGCCAGGGACUGAGCUGUGCAUUAUAUGGAACCAAUCGCCUUAAGGGGAACCAGCAAAGCUCUUCCUAAACGAGAGUGGUGCUACCAACCUCCAAGGCAGACUGCUGUACCGAAAGCACUCAGAUGAAGAAAACUUGCAUCAUAGCUAGUGUGAUGAAAAUGGAAUUAUUGAAGCACAAAUGGUAGCAAGAUGAGCACUGCCAGCUGCUUUAAAAACCAAACACAAUUGGGGUUUACGUGCAGCAGCCCAAGUGAGUACAGAAACCAAGGCAAACUGCCACAGAAAUUACAUGCAGCUCUCCAAAUCUGCACCGAAAUCUGCAUGCAGGGAGCAGGCACACCGACCACCUUCCCUUUCUGACAACAGCAAGUGUUUUUCUGCUCUGAACAAUUCCUUUUCAGAAGGAAAAUAAUAAACAAAUGUGGUCUGAGCAGCAGCCAAAGUUCCACCUGUCACCAGCACCGUUUACUUUAAGGUCUGAGGAAGAGCACAGUCUGCAGGAGAGCUGAGAAAGUUUUCUUGCCCAGAAACUGUGCUGGGAGAUAAUAGAAAGACAGACUUCAGAGUGGGAGGCUGCUAUCUGAUGGAAGGAGCAGAGACAGCGGGCACCUCAGGUUCCCCACUCACAGCAGCUGUUCCCAAAGUGCAGGUGGAUAAAGCCCCAGUAUUCCAUCUUUACCCCUGGAAGCACAUCCUAGCUGGGUGCUAGCGGAGGGCAUGGAAGGCAGCCAUGGCACAAGCAGGCAGUUACAGCUUUAAGUCAGGCUUCCCUUGGAUAAUUGUGAUCAAAGUUAUGGAUGGUAGUGAAGGCAGCAAAUGCCCCAGCUGUGCCCUGCUGCUCCCCAGCAUCCUGCAGGAGCAGGGCCCUCCUCUGCCAGCACCUGCUGCUCACUCUGCAUACAUUUCAGUGCCACUGAGAGAAGCAUACUGAGAGCAGACAUGUCAACACCUUUCUCAGUUCUUCUCAAGAAAAGUGUGCAAGACAAAGAGCACUGACCCUCAUCACCACCUUUCAGCAGCCUAAUUCAAAGCCUAAAAGCCUCCCCACGCCAGGUGAGAAGGCAAAGGUGCUGUGCAAGGCAGUGUGUGGACAGACAGACACCCGGUCACAGACCUACUGGAGCACUGCUCAGCCUGGGGCUGUGCUGCACAGUCAGAGCAGCGCAGGGCUGUGCAGGGAGCACCCCAACGCCAGGCAGCUGUGUGAGUGCAGGCUCCAUCUUGCUCCUCAGUACUCACUGAAGAGAUCAGCUCAUUUUCCUGCAUUGGAAGUAAACCCCCUUAUAAUGAUUUUUAACUUAAGGAAACUGUGCUGUUCCUUUCUUUAUGUGAAUCUCACAGGGUACGUUUUUUCAAAAUAGGAUGAUUUCUGGGGCAAGUGAAGAUGUGGGGAUUUUAACAAGGACUAAACCUGCCCUACAGUGAGUUACAGAACACUCUCCCAGCCCAAUGCAGCAGGCAUCAGCUUUGAGCACACGGGACCACAAUGGAGCAAAUGCUUUUACAAUUACCCUCCCAAAUGUAAUAAAUAUAUGACUGUGAAAGAUGGAUGACUAAAUAUCAGCAUUCACAGCAAGUAUAAGCAUUGAGAGACUUCCCUACACAACUUAAAUUCAACUGCUGCUCCUCGGUUUGACCCAUACUGCCACAGAAAUAAACACUCCUAUAUAGCUUCAGCCACUGUUCUGCCCUGUUUAGACAGCCAGGAGCCUCUCAUCUCUUACCCCCAUUCCAGAGCUGUGACACAACGUUUCCUACCCAGACCUGGUAAGGCCACCCUGGAAGGGAUUCUCAGAUUCCUUCAUCUUGAGCUUUGUACAGUUUUCACCUGCUAAACAGGGCAGCUCUUGCUCCCCAGAGCUAAUAGAAAGAAACAGUUAAGAGUUAGAGACUGAAACAAAAAGUCUAAACCACCUCCUCUGGCAAUAAACUUCUGUAACCAGUAACCAUAGAGCAGAAGACAAGGGGCUCUCUCAGAGGAAACACAGACUCACUCCUGAAGGAUGAGGACCUGGUACCACCAUGGCUGCCACUACAAAGCCAGCCUGUCCCUGGGCACACGGGGCAGCCAGCCUCUGGUGGCAAAGCCCACACAGCACAGCCAGGCAGGAGAUCUGCCCCAGGGUACGGGCAGCAGCCUCAGCCUCUUCCCUUUAUGCAGCUGGAACACGCAAGGUCCCCUGAUCCUCUGCCACACGAUCUGCAGGGAGAAUCUUCCAUCUGCAUCAUCUCUCUGUAACACCCCAUGACAUCUUCAGAAACAGAUAUUUCUCCCCCACUGCUUUCCAUUUACCCAAGUUAACUUUAUUGGACACACACAAAAAAUACCGACCUGCAGAGGUGGAAACUAAUUCCAGUUAGGUACAAACAAUCAUGUACAUCAGUAAACAACAGGCAACAGCAUGGAGCAGAACCAGAUCUAAGAGGGCUGCUGCACAACACAGGAAUUGCACCUGUGCCACCGUAGGGUCGGGUGCUGACUGCAGCCCAAGAUGGAUUUAAUUAGCAGCUGAUCACGAAGUCUAAAAUUACUUGCUUUUACCUUCUGAUAAUAGGAAAAUGGUUUCAUUUCUUACUCAUGUCCCCGUGUUUCUACAAUAUACUGCAUUACUGCUUAAAUUCUGCGUGCAGUCAGUCACAUUACUACACCCUACAGGAGGUUUUCAGUAAGUCCUUAAACCCAAGCACACAGCAUAGGAAGCCAUCGCAGGGUACGAAGAAGGCUCUGCUUAAUUUUACAUUCGUUAUUUGGCCAAAAUAGUGGUUGUUCUGCACUCAGCCUCAUACUUGUAAUAAAACCCCGCUCAUAUACUAAAGAAACAUUUCAUGACUGAAUAAUGUGCCAAUUGAAAAGCAAUCUCGCUAAGCUACAGGAAACCUCUUGAGUUGCCAGUCUGAGCAAAAUGAAGCCUCGACAAAAGGAACCGCUUGGAAACUAAAUGAAAAUUUAGCAAAUUGAUCUGAACAAGACAGUCUUACGUACAAUGCUAUGUUUUCAGCAACAAGAGAGAAGCCUGCUAGAGAUGACCUCUGCAAAAAAAAAAAAAAAAAA